rnacentral:rRNA from 1 species
GUAAGUUCACGCCACGCAUUAGAACGGGCGAAACCGCGAAUGGCUCAGGAACCGGACCUAAUCCUCGGGACCGUAUUCCUCCUCGGAGGCGAUGGAUAACUGUGGCAAUUCUAGAGCUAAUACAUGUGACACAGGCCGCGAUCGGUCGGCGCGUUGUCGUCGCCUCGCCUUGCGCGCUGGCACCCGCGUCGGCCGUUCCGGGUCGCGGCGCUACAUAUUAGACUGAGACCGAUGCGCGUUAUUCCGUCCUCCCGUCGUCGUCGUCGGCGUCAGCUUUCGUCGGUGGCGGGGCUCAUAGGGCGGCGCGCUCCGCUUUGGUGACUCUGGAUAACUCACUGGUCGAUCGCACGGGCUUUCACGCCCGGCGACGGGUCUCUCGAGGGUCCGCCCUAUCAACUGUCGACGGUCGGUUAAGUGCCUACCGUGGUUACUACGGGUAACGGGGAAUCGGGGUUCGAUUCCGGAGAGGGAGCAUGCGAAACGGCUACCACAUCCAAGGAAGGCAGCAGGCGCGCAAAUUACCCACUCCCGGCACGGGGAGGUAGUGACGAAAAAUAACGACGCGGGACUCUGUCGAGGCCCCGCGAUCGGAAUGAGUACACUUCAAAUCCGUUAACGAGGACCAACCGGAGGGCAAGUCUGGUGCCANNNNNGCUGAGCUUGUCGACGNUCGAUUCCCGGCCUUUCCGCCGGUGUAACCGCUAGCAUAUCCGUCACGCGGUCCUGCCGGCGAGGUGGACGAGGAGACCGAGUCGGGAUCCGGGAGCGGUAAUGGGCUGGGAACGAAAUCACGGGGUGCCGGUUGGUGCGGCUCGCUCGGGUGGCGUGUGUGCGGGGGCUCGCUCUCUGUCGCGCGCCUCUCCGCCGACGGGUCCAUCUCCCUCUCCUCGCUUCCUCCCUCCUCGCCCUCCCCCCGACCCACUCCGAGUCCUUGCUUCGUGCCUGUCUGCGCGCGUGUGCGGUCGGCGGUUUCUCCUCCAAGGGUGCUCUUAACCGAGUGUCCGCGGCGGCCGGUACGUUCACUUUGAAAAAAUUAGAGUGCUCAGAGCGGGCUGUUCAAGCUUGCAUACGAUAAGCAUGGAAUGAUGGAAGAGGGCCUCGUCUACGUCUGUCGGUCUCCGUCUACGGCGAGGCAAUGAUCGAAGGGAGCGGUCGGGGCCACUCGUAUUGCGACGUUAGAGGUGAAAUUCUUGGAUCGUCGCAAGACGAACUGCAGCGAUGGCGUGUGGCAAGCACGUUUUCCUCGAUCAAGAGCGAAAGUCGGAGGUUCGAAGACGAUCAGAUACCGUCGUAGUUCCGACCGUAAACGAUGCCGACCGGCGAUCCGCCGGCGUUCGCUUCCAUGACCCGGCGGGUAGCCUGCGGGAAACCAGAGUUCGGUUCCGGGGGGAGUAUGGUUGCAAAGCUGAAACUUAAAGGAAUUGACGGAAGGGCACCACCAGGAGUGGAGCCUGCGGCUUAAUUUGACUCAACACGGGAAAACUCACCCGGUCCGGACACCGGUAGGAUUGACAGAUCGAUAGCUCUUUCUCGAUUCGGUGGGUGGUGGUGCAUGGCCGUUCUUAGUUGGUGGAGCGAUCCGUCUGGUUGAUUCCGAUAACGAACGAGACUCCGGCCUGCUAACUAGUGCGCCGAUGUGAGUGAUUUUUACGGCGGGCUCGGCGUCCUUCGUGGCGCUCGGGUCCGGGUCGGUUUUCUCACGCACUUCUUAGAGGGACGGGUGGCAGAAAGCCACACGAGGCGGAGCGAUAACAGGUCUGUGAUGCUGUCUGUGAUGCCCUUAGAUGUCCGGGGCCGCACGCGCGCUACACUGGAGGUAUCAGCGGGGACUUCGCCCCGGCCCGAGAGGGUUGGGAAACCUCUUAACCACCUCCCGUGAUAGGGAUCGGGGCCUGUAACCAACCCCGUGAACGAGGAAUUCCCGGUAGGCGCGGGUCAACAGCCCGCGUCGAUCACGUCCCUGCCCUUUGUACACACCGCCCGUCGCUACUACCGAUCGAACGGUCCGGUGAGGUCCUCGGAUCUGGCCGACGACGCCGCCGGGCAGUGUGCGAUGUCGGCAACGGCUCGUGCCUCAGCCUCGGCGUUCGAUGCCUGGAGAAGACGACCGAACCCGAUCGUUUAGAGGAAGUAAAAGUCGUACA